UUUUUUUUUUUUUUUUUUAAAUCAUCACUGCCCUUUGGUAUUUUUUCCAUGUCAAAUCACAUUCCCUUUUGUUUCACGGUCUAGAUGUUUUAGCCUUUCAGUUUAUUGGAAAGGACAGUUAGCUUCAACAUAGCUGAUUUUUUUUUUUUUUUUUUUGUAUAAGGGGCCUUAUUCCUGUGUAAUUGGCUAUAAAAAAGAAUUCCAGAAAAUAAAAUAAAACAAAACAACAAGGAAAACAUCCAAAUAUAGGUCUCACUGAUUGGGACUGUGAAUAAGUCAUUUUUCAUUAGGUCAUAGGCAGACAAGUCAGAGGCAGGAGGCUUCCUUAAUUUAUUUCAUUGAAUAGCUACUUGUGAGUGUCUGCUCAGCAGAAGGACCUAUAUUGUGUAUCGUUUUCCAUGUCAAUUGCCAUUAUUAAAAGCAGUAGGAAAUUCCAGCUUGCUGCCCACGUAAAUAACAAUGAGUAAUACUUUUUCCAAACUUCAGUGCUUGUUAAUAUGUUCACCUGCCCAACUUAAUUUUGCUAAGUUCUUGUUUCACUCCUUUCUACCCAUACUCAUUCUUACCUAGAGGAAAAAUAGGUUUUAGUUACUCUAAAAAAUUAUUUUAAAAAUGAGAAAGAGUGAACAUAUUUAAGCAAAGGAAUAAAGCAAGAUAAAUUAAUGACUGUAAUGUUAAAUUGAGAUAGGAAAAUGGCUAUUGAGUGAACUCAAACGUUUCUACACAAAAUUCUGGGCACUUUUGGUUUUAAAAAAUAUAAAAAGGUACAUAUAAUAAAAUUAGAGUUCUGUAAUUGGUCAUGCAAAUAAUGUCAAUAAUGAAGUAAGUCUGAAAUGAUAGGUUUCUAAAGUGGAUUGUGGAUUAUUAAAUUGUUUCAGCAUAAUUUUGGCAUCAAGUUCACUUAAAUCCCGGUUUAUUAUCUAUGUAUUCCUUGUAGUUGCACCACAUUAUUCAUCAGAAUACACAGUGAACUUGGAUAUUCAAAGAUUUAACAUUCUUGGUUUUAAUGACUUAGACGUGGUGCUAAUAGCUCAUGAAUAAUUUUGCUCAGACUUGGAACUGUAUCACAUGCAUACACGAUAGGGGAUGUACUUUGUGUGGGAGCCUGUGUGCUGCUUGAGAGACACCAACCUAUUUAUUAUUGUCUUCAUCCCUGUAGCUCUCACAUGAUAAGAAAAUUGUUGGUUCAAGCACCUUUACAAUUUAUGUUCUUAUAGUAAUACAAUAUAAUGCAGUGAGAAGUCGUAGGCAGAAAUUUUUUUGAACUGAUUAUAAAUUGCCUUAGACAUGAAUUAAUUCAUUUAUUAGGGUUCUUAAAGGGCCAUCGUCAUAUUGUACUAACACAUUACUAAUUCAUAUGUUAUAGAUAUUUGUGAACUUAGAGAUUCAAAAAAAUAUGUUUCAGAAAUGCCAAGGUAUUUUGUAUUUGCUUCAGAAUGCCUUAUCUUAACCAUGUAGAAAUAAUGAUAUAUAUUAUCAUAAUAUUUUUAAAAUGCACUUACUCAUACAUUUUAAAAGGAUAAAAUUUAUAAUUUUUAGAAGUUGUGAUUCAAUAAAAGACUAAAGAAGUAUAGGUUUUUAUGUUACAAGGUGAUGUCAUGAGAUAUUAGGAUUAAGAAGUUUGAUGGUAGCCUAGAGGAAUCUUUCCUUAAAGGAUAGGAAGCCCAGAGGCACCUGGGUGGCUCAGUCAGUUAAGUGUCUGUCUUAGGCUCAGGUUAGCUCAUGUCAUGAUCCUAGGGUCCUGGGAUGGAGCCCCAUAUUGGGGUGCCUACUCAGCGGGGAGUCUGCUUCUCCCUCUCCAUCUGCCACUCCUCCACUCAUGCUCUCUCUCUCUGUCAAAUAAAUUAAUAAAAUCUUUUUUUAAAGGAUAGGAAGUGCAAAUAUCUCACUGAUAUUAGAUGAAGAAGAUGAAAAAUUAUAAUAUUCUGUAGAGCACUUAAUAUUAAUAGGAAAUUACAGUGAAUCUAUGAAUAACCUAGUUUGCAGCAUUUGGGAUUGCAAUCUAGAAGAACUAGCAGUUAACUGACCCCAGGAAGUAAAGAGUAACCACCAGUGUCACCUAUCACUAUUUUAAUAUGCUAGCUGUUCGCCAUUAUGACUAAUGGACAUAGAUUUUUUGUUGUUGUUAAAAUAAAAGGUCAACAUAGCCAGAAGUACUGUAAGUAAUUUUGCCUAGUGGCAUUAUAGUAAGUAUAACUGAGAUGACAUUUUUGUAAGCAGCUAAGAACUUUAUUGUUAUUUUUCUUAAUGUUUUUACCUUUAGGCUUUAGAUCAUAGAUUUAUCAAACAAUGCAAUCCUGAGGAAUUUAACUAAAUUAUUAUAUCUCCAUGUAUCCAAAGUAUGAAAAGAAUAAUGAAAUUACAAGGAGUUAUUUGCAAUGUAACUUUCCUUGACUAGCUUAUGAGAUUAAUUAUUAAAUGUAUUUUUACCUGUGCAAAUCUAUGGGAAAUUAUUUAUUUCUUUACUUUUAUUAUAGUUAGAAAAGCCUAGUUUAUAAUUUUUCUUCACUUAUAGAGACAAAUUUUGAUAAUGUACCAAAUUCAGCUAAUUUGGAAAUUUCUGAAGGACUCCUGUAAGAACAUUUGUUUCAUAGUAAGAUCUAAAAGGGCACUCAGGCGGUUCCCUCCUUUGAAGACAUAUGAAAAUAUAACUUUUUUAGAUAAAUUUUUUUUGAUAUUGACGUUUUUGUUCAAAAUUCUUUUUCAAGCAUUCUUCAAUACAUAGCUUUGGUGUUAGAGCGCAAGGUACCAUAUGACAAAGCAGAGAACUUUACGUGGUGUAUUAGUGUAUUUGCACUAUUUUACAAGUGAGAAAUGAGGCUGUUUUCAUGAACAGAUGUAGUAAGAAACUAUGUCAUAGAACAUUAGAAAAGAGACUGUUCUUAUAGGGAAAGUGCCUGUCUGCUAUGAGAUUUAUUUUUAUUUUUUAAAAGAUUUAUUUACUCAUUUGAGACAGAGAGCAAGCAUAUGUACAAGUGAGUGGGGGGAGGGGUAGAAAGGAGAGACGAUCCUCCAGCAGAUUCCCUGCUCAGCACAGAGUCCAACGUAGGGCUAUGAAAUUUGUAUUGAGGACCUCUUGGGUGGCUCAGCAGUUGAGCAUCUGCAUUCCCCUCAGGUUGUGAUCCUGGAGUCCCCAGAUCGGGUCCACAUUGGGCUCCCUGCAUGGAGCCUGCUUCUCCCUCUGCCUAUGCGUCUCUCUCUUUGCGUCUCUCAUGAAUAAAUAGAUAAAAUCUUAAAAAAAAAGAGAGAUUUGUAUUGAUAAGACACUGGGUCUCAUAAUAUCACACUUUUCAUCGUUCCUCUUUGUUAUGGAAAUUAGCAUUCUGUUUUGCCAGGAAAGCAAUUGGGCUUUUUCUUUUAGGAAAGAAAGGGAAAUAAAGUGCUCAGCUUCUACUUUCAUUUUUCGAGCUAGUCUAUACAUGGGCGAAGAUUCUUCCGAGUAGUUUUCUUCUCACUGAUUCUAACGUUUCCAAAAGUGACCUAUGUUUCAGAAUCCUAAUUUAGGCAAAAAUAAUAGUGAAGGUAUCCAGUGGAAAAGAAGACCUAAGUAAAAUGCCAGAUACUAUUAACUUUGUCUCUAUUUGCUUAGGGUAAAUGAACAAACAAAUAAAUUCAGAUUUCCCUCCAUUGAGAAGAAGUGCACUUGAGUUUUUACUGAGUUACUCACAGAUUUUUUGAUUGUGUACCUCCCUAGGUAGACCACUGCCUCAAAGUCAAUGUCAGGGGAUUCUUUUUCUGAACCAAGCUCCAUGUUCUGGGAUGUCUGUAGAGAGAUAACGAAACAACAGCCCUGAGAGAUUUCACAUUGAUGAACAUUGCAUUGACCAGAAUGCACAAGUAGGACUGCAUAUGGGGUAUUCCUUUUACAUUUAGAUGGUCUAAACUUAGAAAAUGAAAGGACAAAAAAAAAAAAAAAAAAAAAAAA
rnacentral:lncRNA from 1 species